rnacentral:rRNA from 1 species
GAUGAACGCUGGCGGCGUGCCUAAUACAUGCAAGUCGAGCGAACAGACGAGGAGCUUGCUCCUCUGACGUUAGCGGCGGACGGGUGAGUAACACGUGGAUAACCUACCUAUAAGACUGGGAUAACUUCGGGAAACCGGAGCUAAUACCGGAUAAUAUAUUGAACCGCAUGGUUCAAUAGUGAAAGACGGUUUUGCUGUCACUUAUAGGUGGAUCCGCGCCGCAUUAGCUAGUUGGUAAGGUAACGGCUUACCAAGGCAACGAUGCGUAGCCGACCUGAGAGGGUGAUCGGCCACACUGGAACUGAGACACGGUCCAGACUCCUACGGGAGGCAGCAGUAGGGAAUCUUCCGCAAUGGGCGAAAGCCUGACGGAGCAACGCCGCGUGAGUGAUGAAGGUCUUCGGAUCGUAAAACUCUGUUAUUAGGGAAGAACAAAUGUGUAAGUAACUAUGCACGUCUUGACGGUACCGAAUCAGAAAGCCACGGCUAACUACGUG